GACAGAGGGUGCAAACGUUGUUCGGAAUCACUGGGCGUAAAGCGUGUGUAGGCGGCUUCUCAAGUCGGGUGUGAAAUCCCAGGGCUCAACCCUGGAAGUGCAUUCGAAACUGGGUAGCUAGAGUACUGGAGAGGAAGGUGGAAUGCUUGGUGUAGAGGUGAAAAUUCGUAGAUAUCAAGCGGAACACCGGUGGCGAAGGCGGCCUUCUGGACAGAUACUGACGUGAGACACGAAAAGCGUGGGGGAGCAAAACAGG
rnacentral:rRNA from 1 species